ACAGAGGACAGUCAAUCCACGGAUGUUGCUGAGGGUCAAGAGGAAGGAGGAAGUGGAUGGCCACAGCCUGGUGGAAAUGUUUGGCAUUUAGGUGUGGGUCUGUAUUUUUAACUAUUUUCAGAUUGGAAUCGUGCUUUGUGUCAUUUUGCAUCUGUGAGGGUCACCUGGGCUUUAUGGCAAUCUCCAAAGAUUUCAGACCGGGCAUCUCAGUGUUCAGAAGUCUCUCCCUCCAGGGUGUAGUCUGAGCAAUAGUGAUAAAGCCUAUGAAGCAUGUGUUACUCUCAGUUGUCCGUCCUGAUUUAUAUUUUUAGCUGAAAUCUUUUUAGCAAGAAUAAUAAUUUUAAAGUAUGCAAACUGCAUUUCCAUAUUUUAUCAUUUGUCUUUGCUUUAAAAAAAAUUAUCCAGGUUAGUGCAAACAGCCCCACAUACUAUUUAAAAGUAAAUAAUUCCUAAUUGGUAAAAUGCCAAAGUCUAUUUACUAAUGGCCUUAAAUAUUUCUAAGAAAUUUUGUUUUUAAGGGGUGAAUUAGCUAUUCAAUUCUCCAUGACCAAGGCAUUUAAAAAUGGUAAUAAAAGAACGCCCUGAUGUAGGAAGGUGUGGCUCAGUGGGUAGAGUGCCAUCCUGGCUUGAACAAGGCCCUGGGCUCAGGUAGAAUAAGACAGGAAGACCAGUGCGGGGUGGUGGUGGCAAACGCCUUCAAGCCUAGCACUCAGGAGGCAGAGGCAGACAUAUCUCUGAGGGUCUCAUGUAGGCCUAGGCUGGACUCAAUUCAGAAUGUUGUAGCUAAACUUGGUUCUGAUUCUUCUGCAUCUACUUCCCCAGGCCAGCAAGGGCAAGCUACAAGCGAGUCUGGGUGGAGAGCAGGGGAGUCAUUAAUGCUAGGGAAACACUAAGAAGCCAGCUACAUCCCACAUUCUUCUUUUAAUUUGAUUGCUGUUGGUGUUUGUGUGAGAGGCUUAACUCACCCUGCCAUCCUGCCUCAGCAUCCCAGUGCUGAGGUUAUAAGAGCCAUAUCUGGCUUGCUGGAUUAUUAAAACAGUCCCCGAUUACAAUUACUUGGUUCAAAAUGAGAUGAAUGUGGGCAAGUAAUCACAGGUCUAGUGUAAAACAGUGGAUGGUGGCACUGAACGAGAGUCACCUUUGGGUGGCACAGUGGAAACAGCUAGGAUGUCGCAAAAGUCUGACUGCACCUCUGCAGAGCAAAGCUCCCUGACUGCACCUCUGCAGAGCGAAGCUGAGCUAUGAGGGAGAACUGGGCUCUCUCUCCCUGCUAGUUCCCCAGUCUCACUUGGAGGGCGCUUGAGGUGGAGGUACAGGGGAUUAGGGGAUGCUCACCGUUAAGUUCUUUGAAACUGUAUCCACGACAACACUAAAUGCUAAGUCCCAGAAUGAGCAGUGUGGGACCAACGUUCCAUUGUGCAAUGUCCCAGUUAAUCUUGAGCCAUCAUCUUAUUUCCCUUGUGACAGAUGAAGAUAAUGUCCAAAUCAUACACCGAAAUUCAACAGACACAACAUCUAUACAAUUCAGUGAGCAUCCAUACAGUUAGAAUGGGCACUGGAAUGGAAUCUGUGAAAUUUCACACUACAUUUUAUACUUUAAGAACCGUCUACCAUCUAUGCUCCUACCCACUAGUCAAACAAAAGGAGUCCAUGAUGUAACUAGAACUAGAAAAAUGAUUGGCUUUAUGUCCUCUGACAUAAAUAGUGUCGAUUUCUUGCAGUCAGCUCUGCUUACCUUUGGUGUGUGUUGCUUUCAUUUAUUUUCAAGUUUUUAAUUAGUAAGGUUUACAAAAUUAAAAGUAGAAUAAUUUAGACAAACAAGCCUACAAUGAGCAAAUCACUCUCUUGUCUUUGCAGCACAGUGCAAAGAGAAGUGCAGUCUCAGGUUGGCUGGGAUCCAGUAGAUGGAUCCUGUGACUUGCUGAUCUAGUUUCUGCCUUUAGAACAUUCCCCCAAGUUUGUUCCUUGAAUGUAUUGGCUGAAAACUUUAUUCCCUCCAUUUGGAAGACAGAGAUGUCCAGUUGAGCCAAGACCACUCUUGUCCCUGCACCGACCACAUCUGGUAUUCACUUCCUUCUCUGCCUUUGGCCUUCAAGGUCCUCAAGACCAGGAGCACACGUUUCCUGUUCUGUUUUUCCAUGUCAUCGAGCAUGGGGAAGGCUGUCAGCAAACACGUGGGAAAUGUGAAAAAGUAGGGGCAGGGGCAGAGGACAAGGGAGGAGAGAGACUGACAAGGACCAGUGGAAACCACCUGCUUAGUUAGAGGUGACACACGUCCAUGCAGUGCAGACCAAGUCCUCAUGGUUUCCUAAACCAGAGUCCUCACUCCCCUGGUACCAAUUAGCAUUGCAACAGACACGGAAAGCAAGACACAAGACGACAGACACUAACAAAGAUCCACCACUUUGUGUGUGUGUGUAUAUUAAACACAAAAGGCUGAGUAGUCAAUUAGGUAGCUAGUUGGCAUUUACUGACUCUAUGCUAAACCCAAUGAGUGUUAAUAGUUUUAUGACCCUAGGACAUAACCCAUAUUACAUUUGCUUUUGUUUUCUUCAAAAAAGACUUACUUAUUUUAUGUAUGACUGGUGCCUUCAGCUGUCAGACAAGAGCAUGUGGUCCUCUGGAACUGGAGUUACGGAUGGCUGACUCACAGGUAGGUGCUGCGAAUUGAACUCAAGCCCCCUGCAGGAGCAACAAGGGCUCUUUAACUGCUGAAGCAUCUCUCCAGACACUCAUUUCAUUUUCUAAAUCGUUGCAAAUGAAGGUCUGCUCAUGUAAGUAGCUUCAGAUUCCAUUAUCGUCUUCAGGUUCACACGUUCACAUAGCUGGAAGAUCAGAGAAGUUUCCAGAAAUUUGCCGUCCACAGUGAUUAUGGAGAGCCUCUGGCCUUCAGCUCCACAAGUCCUUUCUUCUCCAAAGUACAAAGACCUUCAAAAUGCCCCACCAUGAGCCUUAGACACAACCUAUGUUCUUCAAGGUCACACAUCUUACUAUUGGGUUCCUAGACACUCAAUGAUGCAGGAGGAGGCAUUGCCACCUCAGGGGCACUGAGGUACUCAUACAACAACUUCGGGGGAUUUCAAAAGAGGGAAUUCACGUGGUUUCCUUCUGAGAUCAAAAUCCCCCACCUCAAGAGCUGGCCUACCAUAUAGGUGGAAGAAGAAAUCAUUCAGUUUUGUUUUCCCCAAAGCUGUCAACUAUUUGAAAUUUUUACUUACUUCAUAUACGUGUUGUGUAUUUAUGAGAUACCAUGUGAUAGUUCAUACUUUUAUGUACUUAUUCUGUUGUGUUUAAUAAAGGGUAAACAUAUCUAUCCCUUCAAUUUUAAAUAUAUUAAAAUAGUAAUAUUUAAUAUUUUAAAAAUAGCUCAUG
rnacentral:lncRNA from 1 species